rnacentral:rRNA from 1 species
UUGCCUGUUUUAUCAAAAACAUGGCCUUAUGGAGUAAUAUAUAAGGUUUGGCCUGCCCACUGAGGUUUAAAGGGCCGCGGUAUUUUGACCGUGCGAAGGUAGCAUAAUCAAUAGCCUUUUAAUUGGAGGCUGGAAUGAAUGGUCGGACAAGAUAUAAGCUGUCUUAAAUUUAAUAAGUAGAAUUUAACUUUUAAGUGAAAAGGCUUAAAUAAAUUAAAGUGACGAUAAGACCCUAUAAAGCUUUAUAUUGAAAAAUUAAUUUUAUAUUUAAGGUAUAAAUUUUAUUUUUUAAAAAAUAUUACAUUGGGGCGAUGUAGAUUAAAUUAGUAACAGUUGUUAAAAUAAAAUAAUUAAUAUUUAGGUAUGAGAGAUCCUUUUUAAAGAUUUUAAGAAAAAGUUACUUUAGGGAUAACAGCGUGAUUUUUUCUGAGAGUACAUAUCGACGAAAGUAGUUGCGACCUCGAUGUUGAAUUAAGAUUACUUUAAGGUGUAGCCGCUUUAAAUGAAGGUCUGUUCGACCUUUAAUAUCUUACAUGAUUUGAGUUCAAACCGGCGUGAGCCAGGUUGGUUUUCUAUCU